CAAAGCAUUCUCCUACUCCUAAACCACCAGUUCAUAAACCACCAAGAUAUCCUCCUAAACCAUCACCUUGUCCACCCCCAUCAUCAACACCAAAACCACCUCAUCAUCCCAAACCCCCAGCAGUACACCCACCACAUGUUCCAAAACCACAUCCACCUUAUGUUCCAAAACCACCAAUUGUUAAACCUCCAAUAGUACAUCCACCUUACGUACCAAAACCCCCAGUUGUGAAACCACCACCAUAUGUCCCUAAACCACCUGUUGUGAGACCACCCUAUGUUCCUAAACCACCAGUUGUACCUGUAACACCACCUUAUGUUCCUAAGCCACCAAUUGUUUUCCCACCACAUGUUCCUCUACCUCCAGUUGUACCAUCACCACCACCUUAUGUACCAACACCUCCAAUUGUGAAACCACCAAUUGUUUUUCCACCACAUGUUCCUCUACCUCCAGUUGUGCCUGUAACACCACCUUAUGUGCAACCACCACCUAUUGUAACUCCACCAACACCAACACCUCCAAUUGUGACACCACCAACACCACCUAGUGAAACACCUUGUCCUCCACCACCACUUGUACCUUAUCCACCACCACCAGCACAACAAACAUGUUCCAUUGAUGCUUUGAAGUUGGGUGCAUGUGUUGAUGUGCUUGGUGGACUCAUACAUAUUGGUAUAGGUGGAAGUG
rnacentral:lncRNA from 1 species